rnacentral:rRNA from 1 species
GACGAACGCUGGCGGCGUGCUUAACACAUGCAAGUCGAACGGAAAGGCCCUGCUUUUGUGGUGUGCUCGAGUGGCGAACGGGUGUGUAACACGUGAGUAACCUGCCCUUGACUUUGGGAUAACUUCAGGAAACUGGGGCUAAUACCGGAUAGGAGCUCCUGCUGCAUGGUGGGGGUUGGAAAGUUUCGGCGGUUGGGGAUGGACUCGCGGCUUAUCAGCUUGUUGGUGGGGUAGUGGCUUACCAAGGCUUUGACGGGUAGCCGGCCUGAGAGGGUGCCCGGCAACAUUGGGACUGAGAUACGGCCCAAACUCCUCCGGGAGGCAGCAGUGGGAAAAAUUGCAAAAUGGGGGGAACCCGGAGGCAGCAACGCCGCGUGCGGGAUGACGGCCUCCGGGUUGUAACCCGCUUUCGCCUGGGCCGAAGCGUGAGUGACGGUAAUGGGUAAAGAAGCACCGGCUAACUACGUG